AGAGAACGACGCUGAGUCUUCGUACACUCUCCCUGCUGGUGCUCUUGAUGACCGUGAGGACGUUUUCCAGGGAGGUGGCAGUGAGUGGCUUGACUGCUCAUUGAAAGAAAGAAUAAACGGAAUCCGCGCAGACGUAGUUGCGGAAGGAUGGCAGCCUUCAUGGAGGACACGCUGCCUGUGGAGGAAAGGGAGUUUCAGAAGACUAUAGCGUUGGUCGGAGGUAAAGAGAGGAUUCAUUUGGUGAGUGAUGCCUGUAUAAGUAAAGAGGUGGACGUGGAUGACCCUGGAUUACUGCAGGAGUUCAUCCGUGACAUGUUUCACAACAGCAGCCCGACGAGCAACAACGGACAGCUCCAAACCUCUCCGUCAGGCAGCCACGGCGAAACGGCAAGUGCAAACCCCAUUUGCGGCAAGACUGAGACGAAAAGCAAUGAAAUACCUCUAUUAGCGAGGCCCAAGGAUUUGGAUAUGAGAGCCUGUCCGGUGGGAGAGGACGGGGAGAAAGAAAAUCGGCCAACGUGCAAUGGCAACGCUCAGAAAACAGCAUGGAGGAGAGCAAACAUUUACAGCCUAAAGCGAACUAUAGACUCUCCUAUCAUCAUAUUCAUCUUCAGACAGACAUUUCUCAGCAAACGUUCCAACGAAAUGUGCUUAAAAGAGACGUUGAAGGACGUAAAGGCACGCACGAAACGUGCCAUAAUCGCCAGACCAGCUCUGAUUGGAUUAAUACGCACCAGAGAGGAGAGCGCCGAGACGCAUCAGUGUGCGCAACUCCUGGAGUGUCUGAUCCGCUCUGUGUUUCACAAACAGUCACCAGAAACGAUAUGGGUCGGCUGUUUCAUCCCGAGUACAGAGGACAAAAUGCUCAGCAUCAAGAAAAACGCCUGCAAAGUUAUAUACUCAUCUCAAACAGCAGAUAAUACCAGGGAUAGAGGGAACCCGCUUUUCUGGCCAUUCCAAUGUUUUCUCAGGGCUCAUAGAGGAGACCAGGCCAACAACUCUUCAACCGGCAGGCAAAGAGGUGACACUGGAAGUAAAGAGGAAGGCAUCCCUCUGAAAACAAUGUCCUUGUCUGCUGGCCCUCACGUGGAUGGAGGGGACAGCUGAUAUCAUGACACACCUGCAGCUGCAGGCAUAUCACAGCAGACAAUCCUACGGUCUUAACUGUGAAGAACAAGUUUGCGUCACGGUGGGACAAAGCCUUACUACAUGUUACAAUUUUUCUUCAUAGUGUUCACUAUUCUCAUUGCUGAGCCAACAUGAUUCUUGUCCUGAAGCAAUAUGUUGCUAAAUAGUCAAAUCUGUUGCCAUCUUGCUGGUGUACACACUGUCUCUGAUGUACAAUUGUUAGUCAUAAAGGGAUUUACUGUGGACGUUUGGUUUAGUCAUAUGAACUAUAUUACAUAAUUUAACACCAUUCUUUAAGGCCUGGAUAGAGAUUUAUCGGUUAGAACAUGUUGAAACUGCAAUAUGGCUAGGCAAAAGCAAAAGUACUCCUUUUAACAUGAUCAAGUACAGGGCUGGAUUACCAAUUGUCGUGGAAAUUUAUCAUAUAGUCUUCUUAAAUUUUAUCUUUAUAGGGUUGUUUGGCCUUACAGUCACUAACCCUGUAUUUUCUCACAGUUGUAAUACACAUGUCUGAUGUCCCUGUGUCUGCUAGCGUUUGACAGACAGUAAGGCAUCACUUUGACUAUUGUCAGGCAAUUAGAAGAUAGAUGCUAACAGGUGUAAUUAACAUGUGUGAUGUCUCUGUGACUUUUGUUCCCAUCUGGUACACAGAAAUGUAUAUUACUUGAUUACAUUAUAUUACAGUUCAUUUAGCUGACGCUUUUGUCCAAAGCUUUUUUCCAAUCCUCAUACUGAUCCUCCCCAAGCAACUCUACUAUAUAAAUGACUUGUGUUUCUUGUUACUCAUGGUCAGAUACGUGUAGCACACGUUGCAGGUUAUCUGUCCUUUCAGCUGAAACUGAUUUAAUUAUGUUAAAACACUUUUGACCGUUCAUUAAAUAACACCAAAGCUCUAACUCCUUUAUUAGGUCAUUGCUUGCCGGAAGGCGAUUCAUUUGUGAAUUGCCACCACACCAACUAGCCCCAGAACUCCAUUGCUCUUAAAAGGACCAGGUUUAUUGUGUGUCAUCUGGAAUAUACAUCACCAAAACACAACAUCAACGGACAUAUUAAGGGCCUAAAGUGAAGUCCUGUUUCAUUAGUAGAGCCUGCAGCAUCUUCUUCCUUUCCACCCUUAGACGACAUAGAAGGUUAAUCCAGCCAUAGUUAAGCAAUGUGAAUCUUUUAAUUUUUUCCUUGUUCAUUUAUUAGAAUUGUGUGCCUUAGAUGAUUUCUAUUGGCAAUUGCACUACAUUUGCAAUAAAAAUAGAUGAAACCACUUUUUACUUUUUAAGUAUUUAUGUAGGCUACUGGUCUGUACAUUCAAAUAUAUGUGUAAAUAAACAUAUUUAAUGUUGUGCCAUUGUGACAUUCAUUGUCUAUUCUUUCAAACUAAAAGUAGUAUAUUGGGAGAUUAGGUUAGCAACUGAGAAUAAACUGCUGCCAUAUAUUUACUUAUAUUACUGACAUGACCUUGUACCAUGUACCUCUCUUUUUAUUUACCCAUAAAUCAUAUGUUCAUAUUUAUCA
rnacentral:lncRNA from 1 species